AACGAACGCUGGCGGCAGGCCUAACACAUGCAAGUCGAGCGGACCCUUCGGGGUUAGCGGCGGACGGGUGAGUAACGCGUGGGAAUAUGCCCUUCUCUACGGAAUAGUCCUGGGAAACUGGGGGUAAUACCGUAUACACCCUUUGGGGGAAAGAUUUAUCGGGGAAGGAUUAGCCCGCGUUGGAUUAGGUAGUUGGUGGGGUAAUGGCCUACCAAGCCGACGAUCCAUAGCUGGUUGGAGAGGAUGAUCAGCCACACUGGGACUGAGACACGGCCCAGACUCCUACGGGAGGCAGCAGUGGGGAAUCUUAGACAAUGGGGGCAACCCUGAUCUAGCCAUGCCGCGUGAGUGAUGAAGGCCUUAGGGUUGUAAAGCUCUUUCAGCUGGGAAGAUAAUGACGGUACCAGCAGAAGAAGCCCCGGCUAACUCCGUG
rnacentral:rRNA from 1 species